AUGGUUAAGUGGGAAACGAUGUGGGAAGGCCCAGACAGCCAGGAUGUUGGCUUAGAAGCAGCCAUCAUUUAAAGAAAGCGUAAUAGCUCACUGGUCGAGUCGGCCUGCGCGGAAGAUGUAACGGGGCUAAACCAUGCACCGAAGCUGCGGCAGCGACACUAUGUGUUGUUGGGUAGGGGAGCGUUCUGUAAGCCGUUGAAGGUGGCCUGUGAGGGUUGCUGGAGGUAUCAGAAGUGCGAAUGCUGACAUAAGUAACGAUAAUGCGGGUGAAAAACCCGCACGCCGGAAGACCAAGGGUUCCUGUCCAACGUUAAUCGGGGCAGGGUGAGUCGACCCCUAAGGCGAGGCCGAAAGGCGUAGUCGAUGGGAAACAGGUUAAUAUUCCUGUACUUGGUGUUACUGCGAAGGGGGGACGGAGAAGGCUAUGUUGGCCGGGCGACGGUUGUCCCGGUUUAAGCAUGUAGGCGGAGAUUCCAGGUAAAUCCGGAGUCUUGUUAACGCUGAGGUGUGAUGACGAGGCACUACGGUGCUGAAGUGACAAAUGCCCUGCUUCCAGGAAAAGCCUCUAAGCAUCAGGUAACACGAAAUCGUACCCCAAACCGACACAGGUGGUCAGGUAGAGAAUACCAAGGCGCUUGAGAGAACUCGGGUGAAGGAACUAGGCAAAAUGGUGCCGUAACUUCGGGAGAAGGCACGCUGACAGGUAGGUGAAGCGACUUGCUCGUGGAGCUGAAAUCAGUCGAAGAUACCAGCUGGCUGCAACUGUUUAUUAAAAACACAGCACUGUGCAAACACGAAAGUGGACGUAUACGGUGUGACGCCUGCCCGGUGCCGGA
rnacentral:rRNA from 1 species